AUGCCAACCCUCAAAGACCUCCUCCCCCGCCAGGCCCAACUAGCAGUGCCCUUUGUGCUACUCCCAAUGGACCUACAGGCAGGACUCAGGGGGCUCAUAACCCAGGUUAGUACCUUCACCGACUCCAAAACAAAUACUAGGAACAUCAGUGCUGGUUGCACAAUAACAAAAAUACUAAACUUUUUAUAUGAUUAUUACACAGGUGAUCGUGACGGUCCUACUGCCCCGUUGGAGGCUGCAUCCCUUGCACAAGCUUCUGAUGAUUUUGUGCCCAGGGAUCCUCCAAGGUCUACUACAAAGGGUAGGGCAAAAAGUCGACGGUACAAAUCGGCGCUGGAGCUACACCCAAAGAAGAAAAACAAAUGCAGCCAGUGCCAAUCUAGAGAGCACACUGCUGGUGUGUGUCCAGAGAGGCUCCUAUGA
rnacentral:rRNA from 1 species